rnacentral:tRNA from 10 species
GCGGGUGUAGUUCAGUGGUAGAACGCUACCUUCCCAAGGUCGAUGUCGUGGGUUCGAGUCCCAUCACCCGCU